rnacentral:rRNA from 1 species
GUAGGUGGCAAGCGUUGUCCGGAAUUAUUGGGCGUAAAGCGCGCGCAGGCGGUUCUUUAAGUCUGAUGUGAAAGCCCACGGCUCAACCGUGGAGGGUCAUUGGAAACUGGAGAACUUGAGUACAGAAGAGGAAAGCGGAAUUCCACGUGUAGCGGUGAAAUGCGUAGAGAUGUGGAGGAACACCAGUGGCGAAGGCGGCUUUCUGGUCUGUAACUGACGCUGAGGCGCGAAAGCGUGGGGAGCAAACAGGGAUUAGAUACCCUGGUAGUCCACGCCGUAAACGAUGAGUGCUAAGUGUUAGGGGGGUUUUCCGCCCCCUUAGUGCUGCAGCUAACGCAUUAAGCACUCCGCCUGGGGAGUACGGCCGCAAGGCUG